AAAGAAAAAGGAAGGAGGCAGACGACAGAAAAAUAACGUGCAGAAGUGAGCAAGGUUCACCGAAUCUCUGGGGUAUGAAAAAAUACUGAGUAGAAGGACUCCCGAGGCAGCCGCGUCGAGACGCGGUUGGUCCUAGCUGUACAGGUGUGAAUACGGAAAGGGGAAUCAGUGGAUUUGGUUCCUUGCCGAGUAAAGGAACUAAUGUGGAGGAACGAUUAAGGAGGAUUCCGAAGGCAGCCGCCAAGUAGGCUCUUUGAUUUCGUCUUUGUUUCAGACUUUUGGCUUAACAUUUCAUUACGCUUCAGACCGGUGAUACAUUAUCGAGCGACAAAGUGCAGUGCCUAAAGAAAUCAACAACACCAAAUGCUUGCAAGUUGCUGCGUAAAUAUUUCGUCUCUAAUCUCUCCCGUCCCUGCCCCAACUUUGAGAAGAUUCACAAUCCUUGGGACCCUUGCAACGGAAGUGGAACCCCGUUUGCUUGUGAACCACGCGGGUUAUUCAAAUAUGGCGACCGAAAAUUGGGAUGAGGCAGCAUCUGCUGUGGCGGAAGCCAUGGCAGAAAUAAAAUUGUUCAGAUAAUGGUCUGCCGACGCUGUUGAAGUAUCAGACAUCAGCCUGAUGGAUGAUAUUGCAGUCAAGUAGAAGUAUGCCAAGUUUCUACAACACUCUGCAGGACGUUACCAAGUCAAGCAUUUUCCGUAAGGCUCAACGCCCCAUUGUAGAGCGCUUAGCAUGCAGUCUGAUGUGAUGAUGCAUGGACGUAACAAUGGCAAGAAACUCACGGCCAUUCGCAUUGUAAAGCCUUCUUUUGAGAUCAUCCACCUGUUGACAGGGGAGUAUGGCGACCGAAAAUUGCUAUGAGGCAGCAUCUGCUGUGGCGGAAGCCAUGGCAGAAAUAAAAUUGUUCAGAAAAUGGUCUGCCGGCGCUGUUCAAGUAUCAGACAUCAGCCUGAUGGAUGAUAUUGCAGUCAAGAAGUAUGCCAAGUUCCUACAACACUCUGCAGGACGUUACCAAGUCAAGCAUUUUCCGUAAGGCUCAACGCCCCAUUGUAGAGCGCUUAGCAUGCAGUCUGAUGUGAUGAUGCAUGGACGUAACAAUGGCAAGAAACUCACGGCCAUUCGCAUUGUAAAGCCUGCUUUUGAGAUCACCCACCUGUUGACAGGGGAGGUUUCGUUCUCGAAAAUGACAGGGAUCGACUGCACAGGUAUGCUCCAAUUUUUUUAAUUUUUUUUAAAUAUUUUUAAAUGAUGAUCGCUUUAUCGCAUUAUUAAAAUCCAUUGAUUAAUGAAGUUAUUCCAUAUUUUAUUUUUAAUUUUUUAGAAUCAAGUACAUAUUAGUUCUGUAUAACUGUUUAUUGUGAAACGAGCAUCAACUGAAGGAAUUAAGAAUCAACUGAUACGGCCCACUAGCUGACUAGCGCACAAUGUGACUAUUAUUUUUUGUUUUGGUUGCACAGGUAUAUGCUCCAAUUUUAAUUUUAAAUGAUGAUCGCUUUAAUGUAUCAUUAAAAUCCAAGUUGUUCUGCAUGCUAGUUCUGUAUAACUGUUGAUUGAGAACGCACAAUGUGACAAUUAUUAUUGUUUUGGUUGCUGUUAGUAAAACGAAUACAAAUACAAAUCAGCCACCAAUAUUACAGUCUGCUGAACAUGAACAGAUUUUGACAGUAGUGGAAAACUGCUAAAUGUAUCAAAUUGUUUUUAAAAAAAAUUAAAGGUACAUCACAAAGCAUAACAUUUAAAACAUCAAAUGCAGAGCCAUGUAUACAACAGUCAUCACAAAUAAGAAACACAAUGUUAAUUUGGGCAGCUGGUUAUUUAUUUAAUAAGAUUCUACUACUAUGUUGCAGUUGACAAUAUCCAAGCAAAGGUAGCCAGCCUCCAAAGCACAUUUUCAAGGGAAAUGCGUAAAAUAAAUAAAUAAAACCAAAGUGGGGCUGGAGCAUAUGUGAUGUCUACAACACUUCAUGGCCCUUUUUCCAGCAGUUGAAAUUCCUGUUGCCAGUAAUGUCUCUAGUGGCACCAACAUCUUCAAGCUUGGUAAACAGAUUGAUUUAUAUAUAUAUAUAGUAACAUAUAAUAAAUUUAUUACAUCUUCUCACAAAGGUUGUUUAAGGUGGCUCAAAAUAUCCUACUGUUAAAAUUUUCUUUCUUCAGAGCUAUCCCUAACCCGUGCUCCAUUUCUUUUUUUAUAUUUUGUCCAUAUAACCAUCCCUCUAUGUCCUAAGAAAGUUGUGUAGAGCUACACAGCUUUCUGUUACACAAGCAGCCACAUCAGGAGAUAGAUUUAAUGUAUUUAACAGUAGUCUGAAUCGGUUGACCAAUAUGCCAAAGGCAUUUUCAGAGACACGCCUCACUCUACUUAAACGAUAAUUGAAAAUGUUGUCAUGAUCACCUAGUCCUCGUUGGGGAUAUGGCUUCAUAAGGUGUUCCUUCAAUGGGAAUGCCUCAUCUCCCACAAGUACAAAAGGCAUCUUAACAUGUGAAUGAGCAAGUUCCCUUGGUGCAGGAACUUGAAGGGUCUUACAUUCAACUGCCUUGGAAAGUGUAGUGCAGGCUAAUAUUCCAGCAUCAUUGUUUCUUCCAUUUUCCCCUACAUCAUACCAAAUAAACCGAUAAAAUGCAUCUACCACGGCUAGCAAAACAACUGAAUGAAAGACUUUAUAAUUAAAGUACAUAGAACCCCUUUUCAGUGGGGCCUCCAUAGCAAUAUUUUUAAAGAUAUUUUUUCCAUCUUUAACCCCAAUAUAGUGUGGAAAAUUCCAUUUUUCUUCAAAGGCUCUUGCAAUGGCUUCCCAUUCUUGUGUUGUAUUGGGAACCUGUAAACAUAAGAGACCAGAAGUUCAACAGUAUGAAUUAAACUAAUGCAUUUAAGAAGAGGAAAGUACCUUUUACACAACCAUUAUAACAAAUUAUUUGUUAUUGCAUUGUAGGAAACACAAGUGGUGAAUCACCAACAGCAAAGCGAAGACGAUUAUUUCUACCAGUGCCAGACAGAAAAGGAAUUCACUGAAACUCAGUCUGAAGGGGUGAAAGAGGAUGACCCAGCACUUUCACUCACUUCAAGCCCUUGUGGGUCAAGAAGUGACUACUCAGAUGCAGGCAAAAGGCAAGAAAAAAGAUCAGGGGGAUGAUCUCAUGUGGGCAAAAAAUCUUACUAAAAAAAUUUCAGAAUUACCAGAUAUUACACAAAGGAAGCUUAUUAAACUAGAUAUUGACGACCUAGCAAAGAAUGACUAGGACCUCUACACUUAAAGGAAUUAAUUUUUUUUCUCUUGGUGCUUAUGCGUCUAUGACCUUGACUGAAAUAAAACCAUUUGCAUUGUA